CCUACGGGCGGCAGCAGUGGGGGAUAUUGCACAAUGGAGGAAACUCUGAUGCAGCGACGCCGCGUGAGGGAAGACGGUCUUCGGAUUGUAAACCUCUGUCUUCGGGGAAGAAAAUGACGGUACCCAAAGAUGAAGCUCCGGCUAACUACGUUCCAACAGCCGCGGGAUUACGUAGGGAGCGAGCGUUGUCCGGAAUGACUGGGUGUAACGGGAGCGUAGGCGGGCGAGAAAGUUGAAUGUUAAAUCUACGGGCUGAACUGGUAGCUGCGUUCAAAAAUUCUUGUCUUGAGUGAAGUAGAGGCAGGCGGAAUUCCUAGUGUAGCGGUGAAAUGCGUAGAUAUUAGGAGGAACACCAGUGGCGAAGGCGGCCUGCUGGGCUUUAACUGACGCUGAGGCUCGAAAGCGUGGGGAGCAAACAGGAUUAGAUACCCGAGUAGUC
rnacentral:rRNA from 1 species